CUGAAAUGCAGCUUCCGCGCUCGGGAUCUGAUCCCGGGACCUUGUGCUUAGCAGCAAAAUGCCAUAGCCGCUAAACCACCACGGCAGGCCUUCCCAGGGAAUUGUGUUCCU
rnacentral:lncRNA from 1 species